rnacentral:rRNA from 1 species
CUCAGUAACACGUGGAUAACCUUCCCUUAGGACCGGAAUAACCCCGGGAAACUGGGGAUAAUACCGGAUAAGCCAUAGACGCUGGAAUGCCCUAUGGUUCAAAGCUCCGGCGCCUAAGGAUGGAUCUGCGGUCUAUCAGGUUGUAGUGGGUGUAACGUACCUACUAGCCGACGACGGAUACGGGUUGUGAGAGCAAGAGCCCGGAGAUGGAUUCUGAGACACGAAUCCAGGCCCUACGGGGUGCAGCAGGCGCGAACACUUUACAAUGCGGGAAACCGCGAUAAGGGAACCCCGAGUGCCAGCAUCAAAUGUUGGCUGUCCAGAUGAUUAAAAAUCAUUUGUUAGCAAGGGCCGGGCAAGACCGGUGCCAGCCGCCGCGGUAACACCGGCGGCCCGAGUGGUAGCCGUUUUUAUUGGGUCUAAAGGGUCCGUAGCCGGCCUGAUAAGUCCUUUGGGAAAUCUGGCAGCUUAACUGUCAGGCUUCUAAGGGAUACUGUCAGGCUUGGGACCGGAAGAGGUAAGGGGUACUCCAGGGGUAGGAGUGAAAUCUUGUAAUCCCUGGGGCACCAUCUGUGGCGAAGGCGCCUUACCAGAACGGGUCCGACGGUGAGGGACGAAAGCUAGGGGAGCAAACCGGAUUAGAUACCCGGGUAGUCCUAGCUGUAAACGAUGCUCGCUAGGUGUCAGACACGGUGCGACCGUGUUUGGUGCCGCAGGGAAGCCGUUAAGCGAGCCACCUGGGAAGUACGGUCGCAAGGCUGAAACUAAAG